rnacentral:rRNA from 1 species
GACGAACGCUGGCGGCGUGCCUAAUACAUGCAAGUAGAACGCUGAAGGAGGAGCUUGCUUCUCUGGAUGAGUUGCGAACGGGUGAGUAACGCGUAGGUAACCUGCCUGGUAGCGGGGGAUAACUAUUGGAAACGAUAGCUAAUACCGCAUAAUAGCAGUUGUUGCAUGAUAACUGUUUGAAAGGUGCAAUUGCACCACUACCAGAUGGACCUGCGUUGUAUUAGCUAGUUGGUGGGGUAACGGCUCACCAAGGCGACGAUACAUAGCCGACCUGAGAGGGUGAUCGGCCACACUGGGACUGAGACACGGCCCAGACUCCUACGGGAGGCAGCAGUAGGGAAUCUUCGGCAAUGGACGGAAGUCUGACCGAGCAACGCCGCGUGAGUGAAGAAGGUUUUCGGAUCGUAAAGCUCUGUUGUAAGAGAAGAACGAGUGUGAGAGUGGAAAGUUCACACUGUGACGGUACCUUACCAGAAAGGGACGGCUAACUACGUG